GGGGUGGAUUAGUGGCGAACGGGUGAGUAACACGUGGGCAAUCUGCCCUUCACUCUGGGACAAGCCCUGGAAACGGGGUCUAAUACCGGAUACGAGUCUGGGAGGCAUCUCCUGGACUGGAAAGCUCCGGCGGUGAAGGAUGAGCCCGCGGCCUAUCAGCUUGUUGGUGGGGUAAUGGCCUACCAAGGCGACGACGGGUAGCCGGCCUGAGAGGGCGACCGGCCACACUGGGACUGAGACACGGCCCAGACUCCUACGGGAGGCAGCAGUGGGGAAUAUUGCACAAUGGGCGAAAGCCUGAUGCAGCGACGCCGCGUGAGGGAUGACGGCCUUCGGGUUGUAAACCUCUUUCAGCAGGGAAGAAGCGAAAGUGACGGUACCUGCAGAAGAAGCGCCGGCUAACUACGUGCCAGCAGCCGCGGUAAUACGUAGGGCGCAAGCGUUGUCCGGAAUUAUUGGGCGUAAAGAGCUCGUAGGCGGCUUGUCACGUCGGGUGUGAAAGCCCGGGGCUUAACCCCGGGUCUGCAUCCGAUACGG
rnacentral:rRNA from 1 species